GGGCCCGCACAAGCGGUGGAGCAUGUGGUUUAAUUCGAAGCAACGCGAAAAACCUUACCUGGUCUUGACAUCCUGCGAACUUUUUAGAGAUAGAAAGGUGCCUUCGGGAACGCAGUGACAGGUGCUGCAUGGCUGUCGUCAGCUCGUGUUGUGAAAUGUUGGGUUAAGUCCCGUAACGAGCGCAACCCUUGUCCUUAUUUGCCAGCACGUAAUGGUGGGAACUCUAAGGAGACUGCCGGUGCAAACCGUGAGGAAGGUGGGGAUGACGUCAAAUCAUCACGGCCCUUACGUCCUGGGCUACACACGUGCUACAAUGGUCGGUACAGAGAGCAGCCACUACGCGAGUAGGAGCG
rnacentral:rRNA from 1 species